rnacentral:rRNA from 1 species
AACGUACGCUGGCGGCACGCCUAACACAUGCAAGUCGAACGAAGUAGCAAUACUUAGUGGCAGACGGGUGAGUAACAUGUAGGUAUCUGCCCUUUGGCCUGGAAUAACACGAGGAAACUUGUGCUAAUACCGGAUAAGUCUUUACGGAGAAAGCUUUAUGCACCAUUGGAUGAGCCUGCACUUGAUUAGUUUGUUGGUGGGGUAAUGGCCUACCAAGACUGUGAUCAAUAGCUGAUUUGAGAGGAUGAUCAGCCACAUUGGGACUGAGACACGGCCCAAACUCCUACGGGAGGCAGCAGUGGGGAAUCUUGCACAAUGGAGGAAACUCUGAUGCAGCGAUGCCGCGUGAGUGAAGAAGGCCUUUGGGUUGUAAAGCUCUUUCGUCGGGGAAGAAAAUGACUGUACCCGAAUAAGAAGGUCCGGCUAACUUCGUGCCAGCAGCCGCGGUAAUACGAAGGGACCUAGCGUAGUUCGGAAUUACUGGGCUUAAAGAGUUCGUAGGUGGUUGAAAAAGUUAGUGGUGAAAUCCCAGAGCUUAACUCUGGAACUGCCAUUAAAACUUUUCAGCUAGAGUAUGAUAGAGGAAAGCAGAAUUUCUAGUGUAGAGGUGAAAUUCGUAGAUAUUAGAAAGAACACCAAUGGCGAAGGCAGCUUUCUGGAUCAUUACUGACACUGA